UAGGAAUGACGUCACUCUUCCGGAUCCUUCCGUCUCCGAGAAAGCGCGUGUCCAUCUCUGAUUCAGAAGUGAAUAUGAAAAGAAGUUUGAGAGAAAAACAUGAGCACGUUGAGAGUGUGUCUUCAGCCAUUUACCAUCUGGACUUUCCUGGAGUUUCCUUGGCCAGGUGUGGUGGUUUC